UUGUCUUCUGCCUCGCUCGGCCAGCCUCCUUCCACUGCUGGUCUUGAGCUGGAUACACUUCUGUGUACUAGACUAGAUCGACUCCAACGACCUUUGAGUGCGGAACCUCCUUUUGCUACACAGGUGGACCUCUGCAAUUUGUCUGUUGAAACAUG
rnacentral:snoRNA from 1 species